GGGGAAACCAAUCACAAAUAUUACAUAAACCCUAUCCCCAUGCAUACAUAAACUCUUACUCAACCAUAACCACAAAUGGUCAUAACCAUAAUCAUGUAUGCAUGCAUCAAAACAAGGUUUAUUAAUCAAGAUAAUUAAGAACAUAUAACAUACAACAAAAGGCAAACAAAGGUAAGUUUUCUCAUGUCUUGGUCAAUAUUAGGGCUUUAUCUAUAACCCCAAAACACCAUCAAUCUUCCCUUUGCUCUAAAGGUUUUUGUUGCUCUUUCUCUUCUCUCCUAAACGUCUCUUUCUCCUUAGCUUCUCUCUUAAAUUUAGAGUUUUUAGGGUUUCUCAAACACACAAUCCACCCAUCUCUCUAAAUCUUAAUAUUUAGAAAUGAACCCAACUCUAUCUCUAAUAUCUCGUCACUAAUAAAACCAAUUCUAUCUAAAUCUCUAUUCUCCUUCUAUCUCACAUUCAUUAUCCCUUUUUUCUUUAUCUUAUUUAAUUCACACCCCUUUUAUUUCCUACACCCCAUUUUUUAAUUUCUACACCAAUUAAAUAAAGUAAAAGACCAUUUUAUCCCUAAACAAAAAUACAAAUAACUAAAGGUUUCCCCCUAAUUCUCUUCCUACUUAGAAUUGAACCCACAACCAUUUAAUCAUAGACCACCCUUUUAUCAAAAAGUCAACCCAUCACAUUGGUACCAUCAAACACACACA
rnacentral:lncRNA from 1 species